rnacentral:tRNA from 1 species
GGAGACGUGCGGGAGCGGCCUAACCGGCGCGCCUGGAGAGCGCGUGGCCCCGUAAGGGGUCCAAGGGUUCAAAUCCCUUCGUCUCCG